AGAGUUUGAUCAUGGCUCAGAGCGAACGCUGGCGGCGUGCUUAACACAUGCAAGUCGAGUGCGCGUUUCCGUAGCAAUACGGAAAUGGCGCACGGCGCACGGGUGCGUAACACGUGGGUAAUCUGCCCUCUGAUGGGGAAUAACCCCGCGAAAGCGGGGCUAAUUCCGCAUAACAUUCCUUGGACUCCGGUUCGAGGAUUCAAAGGCGUAAGUCGUCGGAGGUGGAGCCCGCGCACGAUUAGCUAGUUGGUAGGGUAAUGGCCUACCAAGGCUAUGAUCGUUAGCUGGUCUGAGAGGAUGGCCAGCCACACUGGAACUGAGACACGGUCCAGACUCCUACGGGAGGCAGCAGUGGGGAAUCUUGCACAAUGGGCGAAAGCCUGAUGCAGCGACGCCGCGUGGGGGAUGAAGCUUCUCGGAGUGUAAACCCCUUUCGACCGGGACGAAUACCUCGCAAGAGGGGUGACGGUACCGGUAUAAGAAGCCCCGGCUAACUACGUGCCAGCAGCCGCGGUAAGACGUAGGGGGCCAGCGUUGCUCGGAAUUACUGGGUGUAAAGGGUUCGUAGGCGGUGUGGCAAGUCGGGAGUGAAAUCUCUGAGCUUAACUCAGGGGCUGCUUCUGAAACUGCCGUGCUAGAGUGUGGGAGAGGCGCGUGGAAUUGCAGGUGUAGCGGUGAAAUGCGUAGAUAUCUGCAGGAACACCCGUGGCGAAAGCGGCGCGCUGGACCACUACUGACGCUGAGGAACGAAAGCUAGGGGAGCAAACAGGAUUAGAUACCCUGGUAGUCCUAGCCCUAAACGAUCAGGACUUGGGGUGCCACCCGUUCGGGUGUCGUCCCGGAGCUAACGCGUUAAGUCCUGCACCUGGGGAGUACGGUCGCAGACUGAAACUCAAAGGAAUUGACGGGGCCCGCACAAGCGGUGGAACAUGUGGUUCAAUUCGACGCUAC
rnacentral:rRNA from 1 species